rnacentral:rRNA from 1 species
ACUCCUACGGGAGGCAGCAGUGGGGAAUAUUGCACAAUGGGCGCAAGCCUGAUGCAGCCAUGCCGCGUGUAUGAAGAAGGCCUUCGGGUUGUAAAGUACUUUCAGCAGUGAGGAAGGUGGGUGUGUUAAUAGCAUACUCAUUUGACGUUAGCUGCAGAAGAAGCACCGGCUAACUCCGUGCCAGCAGCCGCGGUAAUACGGAGGGGGCUAGCGUUGUUCGGAAUUACUGGGCGUAAAGCGCACGUAGGCGGAUUGGAAAGUUGGGGGUGAAAUCCCGGGGCUCAACCCCGGAACGGCCUUCAAAACUCCCAGUCUAGAGGUCGAGAGAGGUGAGUGGAAUUCCGAGUGUAGAGGUGAAAUUCGUAGAUAUUCGGAGGAACACCAGUGGCGAAGGCGGCUCACUGGCUCGAUACUGACGCUGAGGUGCGAAAAGCGUGGGGAGCAAACAGGAUUAGAUACCCUGGUAGGCGUAGU